rnacentral:rRNA from 1 species
ACACUCCUGCGGGAGGCAGCAGUGGGGAAUAUUGCACAAUGGGCGCAAGCCUGAUGCAGCCAUGCCGCGUGUAUGAAGAAGGCCUUCGGGUUGUAAAGUACUUUCAGCGGGGAGGAAGGCGAUAAGGUUAAUAACCUUGUUGAUUGACGUUACCCGCAGAAGAAGCACCGGCUAACUCCGUGCCAGCAGCCGCGGUAAUACGGAGGGUGCAAGCGUUAAUCGGAAUUACUGGGCGUAAAGCGCACGCAGGCGGUCUGUCAAGUCGGAUGUGAAAUCCCCGGGCUCAACCUGGGAACUGCAUUCGAAACUUGCAGGCUAGAGUCUUGUAGAGGGGGGUAGAAUUCCAGGUGUAGCGGUGAAAUGCGUAGAGAUCUGGAGGAAUACCGGUGGCGAAGGCGGCCCCCUGGACAAAGACUGACGCUCAGGUGCGAAAGCGUGGGGAGCAAACAGGAUUAGAUACCCUUGUAGUCCCA